rnacentral:rRNA from 1 species
ACGGGUGAGUAACGCGUGGGAAUCUACCGUGCCCUGCGGAAUAGCUCCGGGAAACUGGAAUUAAUACCGCAUACGCCCUACGGGGGAAAGAUUUAUCGGGGUAUGAUGAGCCCGCGUUGGAUUAGCUAGUUGGUGGGGUAAAGGCCCACCAAGGCGACGAUCCAUAGCUGGUCUGAGAGGAUGAUCAGCCACAUUGGGACUGAGACACGGCCCAAACUCCUACGGGAGGCAGCAGUGGGGAAUAUUGGACAAUGGGCGCAAGCCUGAUCCAGCCAUGCCGCGUGAGUGAUGAAGGCCUUAGGGUUGUAAAGCUCUUUCACCGGAGAAGAUAAUGACGGUAUCCGGAGAAGAAGCCCCGGCUAACUUCGUGCCAGCAGCCGCGGUAAUACGAAGGGGGCUAGCGUUGUUCGGAAUUACUGGGCGUAAAGCGCACGUAGGCGGAUAUUUAAGUCAGGGGUGAAAUCCCAGAGCUCAACUCUGGAACUGCCUUUGAUACUGGGUAUCUUGAGUAUGGAAGAGGUAAGUGGAAUUCCGAGUGUAGAGGUGAAAUUCGUAGA